rnacentral:misc_RNA from 1 species
ACACCUCAACUCUCAUGGCUUGCCGUGAUGAGCUUGGACUCUGGAGGUCUUGCCGGCCUGCGGUCGGCUCCUCUCAAAUGGAUCAGCUUGCCAGUGUUUGGUGGCAUCAUGGGUGUGAUAACUAUCUAAGCCUGUGGUUUUCUGCCAGAUAACCUUCAGUGAUGGAGGUACGCUGGAGCUCAUAAAUGUCUCUCCUCAGUGAAGACAGCUUUUGAAC